rnacentral:rRNA from 1 species
GUGGGCAAUCUGCCUUCACUCUGGGACAAGCCCGGAAACGGGGUCUAAUACGGAAUACGACCUGCCAAGGCAUCUUGGCGGGUGGAAAGCUCGGCGGUGAAGGAUGAGCCCGCGGCCUAUCAGCUUGUUGGUGAGGUAACGGCUCACCAGGCCGACGACGGGUAGCCGGCUGAGAGGGCGACCGGCCACACUGGGACUGAGACACGGCCCAGACUCUACGGGAGGCAGCAGUGGGGAAUAUUGCACAAUGGGCGAAAGCCUGAUGCAGCGACGCCGCGUGAGGGAUGACGGCCUUCGGGUUGUAAACCUCUUUCAGCAGGGAAGAAGCGAAAGUGACGGUACCUGCAGAAGAAGCGCCGGCUAACUACGUGCCAGCAGCCGCGGUAAUACGUAGGGCGCAGCGUUGUCCGGAAUUAUUGGGCGUAAAGAGCUCGUAGGCGGCUUGUCACGUCGGGUGUGAAAGCCCGGGGCUUAACCCCGGGUCUGCAUCCGAUACGGGCAGGCUAGAGUGUGGUAGGGGAGAUCGGAAUUCCUGGUGUAGCGGUGAAAUGCGCAGAUAUCAGGAGGAACACCGGUGGCGAAGGCGGAUCUCUGGGCCAUUACUGACGCUGAGGAGCGAAAGCGUGGGGAGCGAACAGGAUUAGAUACCCUGGUAGUCCACGCCGUAAACGUUGGGAACUAGGUGUUGGCGACAUUCCACGUCGUCGGUGCCGCAGCUAACGCAUUAAGUUCCCCGCCUGGGGAGUACGGCCGCAAGGCUAAAACUCAAAGGAAUUGACGGGGGCCCGCACAAGCAGCGGAGCAUGUGGCUUAAUUCGACGCAACGCGAAGAACCUUACCAAGGCUUGACAUAUACCGGAAACAUCCAGAGAUGGGUGCCCCCUUGUGGUCGGUAUACAGG